rnacentral:rRNA from 1 species
GAUGAACGCUGGCGGCGUGCCUAAUACAUGCAAGUCGAGCGAACAGACGAGGAGCUUGCUCCUCUGACGUUAGCGGCGGACGGGUGAGUAACACGUGGAUAACCUACCUAUAAGACUGGGAUAACUUCGGGAAACCGGAGCUAAUACCGGAUAAUAUAUUGAACCGCAUGGUUCAAUAGUGAAAGACGGUUUUGCUGUCACUUAUAGAUGGAUCCGCGCCGCAUUAGCUAGUUGGUAAGGUAACGGCUUACCAAGGCAACGAUGCGUAGCCGACCUGAGAGGGGGAUCGGCCACACUGGAACUGAGACACGGUCCAGAAUCCUACGGGAGGCAGCAGUAGGGAAUCUUCCGCAAUGGGCGAAAGCCUGACGGAGCAACGGCGCGUGAGUGAUGAAGGUCUUCGGAUCGUAAAACUCUGUUAUUAGGGAAGAACAAAUGUGUAAGUAACUAUGCACGUCUUGACGGUACCUAAUCAGAAAGCCACGGCUAACUACGUG